UAAGGUCAAGUAGAAAAGGGCGCACGGUGAAUGCCUAGGCACUAAAAGCCGAUGAAGGACGUGACGAACUACGAAAAGCUUCGGGGAGCGGUAAGUACGCAGAGAUCCGGAGAUGUCCGAAUGGGGGAACCCAAUGCAGCGAUGCAUUAUUGAUUGAUGAAUAGAUAGUCAAUCAAAGGAAUACGCAGUGAACUGAAACAUCUAAGUAGCUGCAGGAAGAGAAAGAAAGAUCGAUUUCCUUAGUAGCGGCGAGCGAAGAGGAAAGAGCCCAAACCAAGUGAUUUAUCAUUUGGGGUUGUAGGACUGCGACGUGGUAGCGUGAGUGAUAGCAGAAUUAUCUGGGAAGGUAAGCCAGAGAGGGUGAGAGCCCCGUACGUGAAAUUGCAAGCGCGCCUAGCAGAAUCCUGAGUAGGCCGGGACACGAGGAAUCCCGGUUGAAACCGCGAGGACCAUCUCGCAAGGCUAAAUACUAAUUAGUGACCGAUAGUGAACCAGUACCGUGAGGGAAAGGUGAAAAGAACCCCGGAAGGGGAGUGAAAGAGAACCUGAAACCGUGUGUCUACAAGUAGUCAAAGCACAUUAAAGUGCAAUGGCGUGCCUUUUGUAGAAUGAACCGGCGAGUUACGUUAUCUAGCGAGGUUAAGUCAGAAAAGACGGAGCCGGAGCGAAAGCGAGUCUGAAGAGGGCGAGAAGUUAGGUGACGUAGACCCGAAACCAAGUGACCUACCCAUGACCAGGCUGAAGGCGUGGUAAAACGCGCUGGAGGGCCGAACCCACGUAAGUUAAAAAUUGCGGGGAUGAGUUGUGGGUAGCGGUGAAAUUCCAAACGAACUUGGAGAUAGCUGGUUCUCUCCGAAAUAGCUUUAGGGCUAGCCUCGUGGAGAGGAUAAUGGAGGUAGAGCUCUGUUUGGACUAGGGGCCCGUCAGGGGUUACUGAAUCCAGAUAAACUACGAAUUCCAGAUAUCUAUACACGGGAGUCAGACUGCGAGUGAUAAGAUCCGUAGUCGAAAGGGAAACAGCCCAGAUCACCAGUUAAGGUCCCCAAAUCUAUGCUAAGUGGAAAAGGAUGUGGAGUUGCGUAGACAACUAGGACGUUGGCUCAGAAGCAGCCAUCAUUCAAAGAGUGCGUAAUAGCUCACUAGUCGAGUGGCGCUGCGCCGAAAAUUUACCGGGGCUAAGCAUAGUACCGAAACUGUGGAUGUACGUAAGUACGUGGUAGGAGAGCGUUCUAAGUGCGGCGAAGGUUAACCGAGAGGAUAAUUGGAGCGCUUAGAAGUGAGAAUGCCGGUAUGAGUAGCGAAAGAUAGGUGAGAAUCCUAUCCGCCGAAAGACUAAGGUUUCCUGGGGCAGGCUCGUCCGCCCAGGGUAAGUCGGGACCUAAGGCAAGGCCGAGAGGCGUAGUCGAUGGAUAACAGGUAGAGAUUCCUGUACUGUGUUCAAUCGUUA
rnacentral:rRNA from 1 species